rnacentral:rRNA from 1 species
CCUACGGGUGGCAGCAGUGGGGGAUAUUGCACAAUGGGGGAAACCCUGAUGCAGCGACGCCGCGUGUGGGAAGACGGUCCUCUGGAUUGUAAACCACUGUCCCCAGGGACGAAGAUGACGGUACCUGGGGAGGAAGCUCCGGCUAACUACGGGCCAGCAGCCGCGGUAAUACGUAGGGAGCGAGGGUUGUCCGGAAUUACUGGGUGAAAAGGGAGCGUAGGCGGGACUGCAAGUUGGGUGUCAAAUCUACCGGCUCAACCGGUAGCCGCACUCAAAACUGCAGUUCUUGAGUGAAGUAGAGGCAGGCGGAAUUCCUAGUGUAGCGGUGAAAUGCGUAGAUAUUAGGAGGAACACCAGUGGCGAAGGCGGCCUGCUGGGCUUUUACUGACGCUGAGGCUCGAAAGUGUGGGGAGCAAACAGGAUUAGAUACCCCAGUAGUC